rnacentral:rRNA from 1 species
AUUGAACGCUGGCGGCAGGCCUAACACAUGCAAGUCGAGCGGAUGAGAGGAGCUUGCUCUUCGAUUCAGCGGCGGACGGGUGAGUAAUGCCUAGGAAUCUGCCUAGUAGUGGGGGACAACGUUUCGAAAGGAACGCUAAUACCGCAUACGUCCUACGGGAGAAAGUGGGGGAUCUUCGGACCUCACGCUAUUAGAUGAGCCUAGGUCGGAUUAGCUAGUUGGUAGGGUAACGGCCUACCAAGGCGACAAUCCGUAACUGGUCUGAGAGGAUGAUCAGUCACACUGGAACUGAGACACGGUCCAGACUCCUACGGGAGGCAGCAGUGGGGAAUAUUGGACAAUGGGCGAAAGCCUGAUCCAGCCAUGCCGCGUGUGUGAAGAAGGCCCUCGGGUCGUAAAGCACUUUAAGUUGGGAGGAAGGGCUUACAGCGAAUACCUGUGAGUUUUGACGUUACCGACAGAAUAAGCACCGGCUAACUUCGUGCCAGCCGCCGCGGUAA